UCCCAUUGUGCAGCCCUUCUGGGUAAAACAAGCUCAGACCUUACUAGGGAGCCUCUGUGGGCCCCUACAAGAUGGGUCUUGAAUUUUUAAGUUAGAUUUAUUUAUUUAUUUAUUUAUUCAUUUAUUUAUUGCUGUUUGUGCGCAUAUGUGAGAAAGAGAAAGAGAGGGUGGUCAUGUGGCACACUAUGUGUGUGGAAGUCAAAGGAUGAUUUUUAGGAGUCAGUUCUCUCCUUUCAACAUGUGGGUUCCAAGGCUCACACACAGCUCAUCAGUUUCGGUGGCAAGUACAUUUACAUAAAGUUAUCAGACAAUGACAAGAUUGUAUGUAAAGUUUCUUCUUAUACUUUGCCCUGGCUCUUUAGAAAGCCUUCCUUUUCUAUGAAUGGGCCUUCCAGUUCAGAGCGAUCAACACACAGUAGUCUCAAGUGACUCUCUCAGUGACUUUUAAGGAUCCUCACAACCAGAAGGACCUCUCAGAGGAUCAGCAACAGUGCCUAAUACCAGCUUAUGGAUUCCUUAUUAUGUCUUUACACAUGAAUAAAACAAGUUAGACCUAUUACACAGCUAUUUCUUCCCAUUGGUAACUGAUCUUUAAGAAAUCAUGCAAAUCCCAAACUUACCUUAGCAGCUGCCUUAGUGCAGCCAUGCAACUAUUCUGCACUCAUCCAAAACACCUUUGCAAUUCGAGAACUACACAAAGUCCAAAAUUAGAAUGUAGUCAGUCCGAAACAUCCCUGACAAGUAUUAUGCCAGAGCAAUUUGAUGUCUAGACUUCUUGUUUCAGUCAGGAGAUUAACUGGCUUAUCUUAACCCCAAGGGCAGCCUUUGGCUCACAUCCAAGUAGUCCGUAGUUCUCAGGUUGGCCCCUGGCAGAUCAAGCCAUCAGCCACUUGCCUAAUCCCACCAUCAUACGCAGAAUUACAGAACAGGACUUUUUCAGGCAAUUUUAGAUGUCAUUGUGGUUUUUUUAAUAUAUCAUUUUAAAAGGCAAACAAACUAAAUAGUGGUUAAUUUUUUCAGAAAAAAAUGGUAUGCCUUGUAGAAACAUCACAUUGUUUUCUUUAAACUUAUAAUGAAAACUUGUAUACAUACAAUAACUUUAGGAAUCAUGAUUUACAAGACAUUAACCUCUUUUUCAGCUGGUGCAAUGUCUCAGCUAAUAAAACAUUUACUGCACAAAACUGUAGAUCUUAGUUUGAUCCCAGAAAUCUUUGUGAAGGGAGAAGGACAGAGCAAUUUACAAGGUUGUCUUCUCACUUCCACAUGUGUGUGAUGAUCCUGUAUCCACAGACACAGACACAGACACACACACCCACAGACACAUCAACAACAGGAAUUUAGAGCUAACCUAUUCUGGAAAACCCAAAUACUUUCCUGUUCCUGCAUUAAUAACUACACUCUUCUUCGACAUCAUUUUCCUUUCUUGAGUGGGCCAAAAUGAUUUCAGUGUCCUGCAAAAAGUUCAAACUAUUAAGCCAUAAGCUUCCAUACUAGAGAACUAUUAUUUGGAUCUGCUCAGGGAAAUAAACUCUUUUACUAUAUAUAGCUCUAGCUGGGCUCAACUUCAGUAUCUUCUUGCCUCAGCUCUCUGGAUGCUGGGAUUAUAGUGUGCGUCAACACCCAUUUCUGUUCAGAACUUCUUUAGCCAUUUUGAAUAAUUUCUCUGAACCAGCAAGCUUUAACUUUAUCACCUCAUAAUGGCUGAUUAUGCACAAAUCCACACUAAUACAUAUUCUCAGAAGCAACCUUACUUACAACAUCAGGAUACGUUAAUUAAUAUUUUUGGACCUGUAGAAAUUGAGUUGAACUUUGGAAGUUCCUGACAGUGUUCCUGAGAUCUGAAACUGGCCUGCUAGGAGGAACUCUGUCUCAGAUAGCUGCAGGGAGCAGUCAGCUACAGUGAAGCACACCUGUAAUCCCAGCCCUCAGGAGGCUGAGACAGGUGAAUCACAGGCUGGAAGUCAGUCUGGGCUACGCAGUGCGAGCCUUUCUCAAGAACAAACAGAAUUCUAAGUGCUUCGUUGGGUACAGUCUGUUCUCUGUAGGACACACAGUUCUCCUUCAGAUUGCUAGCAGAUCCCACCUGUGGGACAAGUAUUGAUCUGGACAACACUGAAGUAGAUGUGUGUAAGAAUUCACAAAUAACUUACUUGAACACUCACUAAAGUAUCUACUGUGCUUCAUAGCUUUGUUCUUUCUUAUAAGUAACAUGUGUUAUACACAGAUAUUGGCCAUGCUGAUACAACGGUGCACACACAACAGAGCAGGCUAAGCUCACAUGUGCAACAGGUUACCUAAGUUUCGUAUCUGAGAUUAUAUGUAGUGAACUGGAGCUCAUUUGUCAAGUUAUUUCCCAUGGCAUAAGUGGACCGCAGUGAGAGCUUUGGUCUCUUAAACUUCUAUAAAGCACUUCAAAAUUCUGUGUACAAAUCAAAGAUCGUAUUGAAGCCUCAGACAUCAUGUGGGACAUAACAGCAAAUCAGGCCUGAGAAAUGUACCAGGUGUAGAUGCUGAGCCCUCACAUUUUUAGGGGUCCACAUAAUGCAAGGAAACAAGCACAGAAAGAAAGCUAAGCAUAAACUCUGACUCGGUUGAACUUCUGUGAGCAACUAAUCUACCCUGACUUAUAUUUCCUCUUUAGGAAAGGUGCAGCAGUUAGGAUGUGCCAGCACUAAACUGCUCUCAGCACUCUCCCUCCAGUAAUAAGUGUCCUGGUACCUUCAAAGCACGGGGAAGAGAACCUAGCCUAAUGCAGAAUUGGUCAAAGAGGGUGUCACAGAAAAUAUGAAUGAAUAAAAAUGGACACCGGACAUGCUCCAUAUUACCAGUGUUAAUGAUGUUAAAUAUUAACACUUUAAAACCAAGACAAAAUGGUAUUUCAUUGUGCCAAACAUCUACGUGUUUGAAAAUGUCAAUAUAUAUAUAUGUAUAUAUAUACAUAUAUAUAUAUACAAGUAUAUAUGUAUAUUCUGUUUCAAAAUGUUGUAUUUUCAUGUACUCCACAGCUUAGGAGAGGCUCCAGAGAAAUUACAAUGCUACUUAGUGCCUGGAGAGGCUCAGACAGAAGUCCUGAGGCUGGCUGAUGCAAAGCAGAGUAGUCUCUGGAAGUCCAUGUAUGUCCCAGUCAUCUUGAAGCCUAGCCAUUUGAAAAGAUACUUGCUUAGCAAAGACUCGGGCCUGCCAAUCUGCAGAGGAUGGACAGGUGGUCAUCCACGGGUUGGGGAAUUUCACCUCCUCUUAAGAGAAGUGGCUCUCCAAGAAGUCAUAAGGGUGGAGCCUGAGCCCAGCUCAUAAAGACCCAGAAAGGCCUGCUUCUGGUUCUUCUCCAGGGCCAACAUGGUUUCCAUGGCAUUCUAGAUUUUACUGCAGCCAUCUUGAGACAGCGUCUGCACAUCCUGGGACAGUGCGUGGGGCUGUUUUUGUCUCUUCCGUACACACUGACUGCUCUCCCUCAUGCUUCUUUUCAGCCAGCUCAGGGAGCAAGUGGCUUACUGCAGAGCUAUGUGGCCCAGGAAAGAUGGUAUACGUAGGAGACCCACAGGGCACAAUGACGAGGAUGGUGAACGCAGACUCCACCUGGCUAGAGCAUCUGACAAGCCUGACCACAUCUCUGCCAGUUCCAGUUCGGCUUCAACUGGGUGUGGGCCUUCGGAUUUCCCAGUUCCACCUCAUUUUCGGUCUGCACUGAGCUUCCUGACUGUGGUUGCAGUGUGAUCCUCCACCAACUGCCUGCCACGGGACCGUCUUUGGCAUGUCGGAGGGUAAAGGGGUACCACCUCAAGCUGUGGCUUAAAAGACCUUUCUUCUUUAAGUUGCUUCUUGACAGACAUUUGACGGCAACAAGAAACGUAAGAAAUUCAGGUGCCUUCUGCAGAACUCUGGA